GACGAACGCUGGCGGCGUGCUUAACACAUGCAAGUCGAACGGAAAGGCCUGCUUUCCCUUGUGGAUUGCGGGUACUCGAGUGGCGAACGGGUGAGUAACACGUGAGUGAUCUGCCCCCAACUUGGGUAUAAGCCUGGGAAACUGGGUCUAAUUCCCGAUAGGACGGCAGGGUGGUGCCGGUGGUGGAAAACGAUGUGCUAGUGGGUGGGGAUGAGCGAGCGGCCUGUCAGCUGGGUGGAGGGGGAAUGGCCUACCAAGGCGGCGACGGGUCGCCGGCCUGAGAGGGUGGACGGUCACAUUGGGACUCGGUUCCGGCCCCGACUCCUGCGGGAGGCGGGGGUGGGGGGUAUUGGACCAUGGGCGGAAGCCUGCUGCAGCGACGCCGCGUGGGGGAUGUCGGCCUUCGGGUUGUAAUCUGCUUUCAACCGAGAGGAAGCCACCUGGUUGGAAGGGUGGUGACGGUAGUGGUAGAAGAAGCACCGGCUAACUACGUG
rnacentral:rRNA from 1 species